rnacentral:rRNA from 1 species
AUUGAACGCUGGCGGCACGCUUAACACAUGCAAGUCGAACGGUAACAGGUCUAGCUUGCUAGAUGCUGACGAGUGGCGGACGGGUGAGUAACGCGUGGGAAUCUGCCUUCUAGUGGGGGAUAGCCCGGAGAAAUCCGGAUUAAUACCGCAUACGCCUACGGGGAAGGACCGGGUCGAGGACCUGGUACUCAAGGAGGGGCGUCAUGUCCUAUCAGCUUGUUGGUGGGGUAACGGCCGUACCAAGGCUACGACGGGUAGCUGGUCUGAGAGGAUGAUCAGCCACACUGGCACUGAGAUACGGGCCAGACUCCUACGGGAGGCAGCAGUAAGGAAUAUUGCGCAAUGGGCGAAAGCCUGACGCAGCGACGCCGCGUGGGGGAUGAAGGUUUUCGGAUUGUAAACCCCUUUCAUGAGGAAAGAUAAACGUGGGUAACCACUUAGACGGUACCUCAAGAAGAAGCCACGGCUAACUUCGUG